AGGGUUUGGAUCUACAUGGGCUCAGGACGAACGUUGGCGGCGCGCUUAAUGCAUGCAAGUCGAACGAGAACCGCUUGGUUCGCAAGAACCAGGCGGGGACAGUGGCGAACGGGUGCGUAACACGUGAGAAACCUGCCCCGAAGACCGGGAUAGCCCGGGGAAACCCGGAUUAAUACCGGAUACCCUCGUGGGAUCACAUGAUCCCGCAAGGAAAUGGUCCGCCGCUUCGGGAUGGUCUCGCGGCCUAUCAGCUUGUUGGUGAGGUAACGGCUCACCAAGGCAGCGACGGGUAGCUGGUCUGAGAGGACGAUCAGCCACACUGGGACUGAGACACGGCCCAGACUCCUACGGGAGGCAGCAGCAGGGAAUAUUGCACAAUGGGCGAAAGCCUGAUGCAGCGACGCCGCGUGCGGGAUGAAGGCUUUCGGGUUGUAAACCGCUUUCAGGAGGGAAGAAAAUGACGGUACCUCCAGAAGAAGGCCCGGCCAACUACGUGCCAGCAGCCGCGGUAACACGUAAGGGGGCCGAACGUUGUCCGGAUUUAUUGGGCGUCAAAGGGCUCGUUAGGCGGUUUGACAAGUCGGUCGUGAAAACCCGGGGCUCAACCCCGGGACGCCGGUCGAAACUGUC
rnacentral:rRNA from 1 species